AUUGAACGCUGGCGGCAGGCCUAACACAUGCAAGUCGAGCGAUUGGCGGACGGGGGAGUAAUGUCUGGGGAACUGCCUGAGUGAGGGGGAUAACUACUGGAAACGGUAGCUAAUACCGCAUACUAUCAGAUGUGCCCAGCUGGGAUUAGCUAGUUGGUGGGGUAACGGCUCACGAAGGAGCCGGUCCCUAGCUGGUCUGAGAGGAUGAGCAGCCACACUGGAACUGAGACACGGUUCAGACUCCUACGGUAGGCAGCAGUGGGGAAUAUUGCACAAUGGGCGAAAGCAGGAUGCAGCCAUGCCGCGUGUAGGAAGAAGGCCUUCGGGUUGUAAAGUACUUUCAGCGGGGAGGCGUUACCCGCAGAAGAAGCACCGGCUAACUCCGUGCCAGCAGCCGCGGUAAUUC
rnacentral:rRNA from 1 species